GAUGAACGCUGGCGGCGUGCCUAAUACAUGCAAGUCGAGCGAACGGACGCGAAGCUUGCUUCUCUGAUGUUAGCCGCGGACGGGUGUGUAACACGUGCAUCACCUACCUAUAAGACUGGGAUAACUUCGGGAAACCGGAGCUAAUACCGGAUAAUAUUUUGAACCGCAUGGUUCAAAAGUAAAAGACGGUCUUGCUGUCACUUAUAGAUGUAUCCGCGUUGCAUUAGCUAGUUGGUAAGGUAACGGCUUACCAAGACAACUAUGCGUAGCCGACCUGAGAGGGGGGUGGGACAGGCUGGAACUGAGACACGGCCCAGACUCCAACGGUAGGCAGCAGUAGGGAAUGUUCCGCAAUGGGCGGAAGCAUAACGGAGCCACGCCGCGUGAGUGAUGAGGGUCUGCGGAUCGGAAAACUCUGUUAUUAGGGAAGAAAAGAUGUGUAAGUAACUGUGCACAAAUUGACGGUACCUAAUCAGAAAGCCACGGCUAACUACGUG
rnacentral:rRNA from 1 species